UACAAAUCACAUCUCUUCCUGUUUUAUUAUCUGGUUUCCUGUUUCUCUGAUCAUCUGCUCCGCCCUUAACGUGUUACACCUGUGUUUAAUUAUCCUUCCUCUGUGUGUUCAAUGUAACCUCACGUUUUUACGUGUUUUUUGUCUUGUUCAGUGAUUCUGCGCCGACUUUUGGACUUUGCCUGCGCUCUCUGACUGAAAUCAUGAUCUGGUUUUUUUCGGGCGAGGGUCGCUUCACCUGACCUUUUUUAACACGAUGAAGGAAGUGCGUCACUGCUGCCUGCAGAGGUGCAAGGACACACCACCACACAAUAAGACAUCCGGACCUCCGUUUAUUCUCUGAACAGAGAAGCUGCUUCACCGCUGAGCUUCAGAAAUG